rnacentral:rRNA from 1 species
GAAUUGUUCGCAAUGGGCGCAAGCCUGACGACGCAACGCCGCGUGGAGGAUGAAGACCUUCGGGUCGUAAACUCCUUUCGACCGAGAUGAAUACCUGGCGACUCACUACGUUUGCAGGCUGACCGUAUCCAGGGAAGAAGCCCCGGCUAACUCCGUGCCAGCAGCCGCGGUAAUACGGGGGGGGCAAGCGUUGUUCGGAAUUACUGGGCGUAAAGGGUUCGUAGGUGGCCGGCUAAGUCAGACGUGAAAUCCCUCAGCUUAACUGGGGAACUGCGUCUGAGACUGGUCGGCUCGAGUGCAGGAGAGGAACGCGGAAUUCCAGGUGUAGCGGUGAAAUGCGUAGAUAUCUGGAGGAACACCGGUGGCGAAGGCGGCGUUCUGGACUGCUACUGACACUGAGGAACGAAAGCCAGGGGAGCAAACGGG